CUAUCUGCAAUUUAUAAGAUUCGAACCUGCAGCAGGUCGAGUCGAACGCAGUGAGACAACGGAGCCGUUUACGGCGACGGCCCGAAGGGCGAGCGAAGCGAGUCAUCCUGCACGACCCACCA
rnacentral:sRNA from 1 species